AUGAAGGGGAUGCCUCAAGUUGGCAUGUUCUUUGAAAGUUCAGAGGAGGCUUGGCUGUUUUGGAGAGCAUAUGGUGGUCGUGUUGGCUUUGAUGUGAGGAAAAGGUACAACAAUGUGAGCAAAUUUGAUGGUAAGGUAACCUCUUGCAGAUUUGUUUGUGCCAAUGAAGGUCAUCGCAAAAAGGGGCAAAGAGAAUUCAUUCAGAAGUGCUUUAGAGCUCAAACAAGAACUGAUUGCAAAGCUCGGAUGAGUCUUACAUUGGAUCAAGAGUCCGAAAACUUGGAAAUCACUGAUGUAGUUCUUGAACAUAAUCACCUCCUUCACUUGCCACAAACCCGCCACCUGAUGGCUUCCCAAAGGAAAAUUUCAGAAUUUCAAGCUUUUGAAAUCGAAGCCGCGGAUGAUUCUGGAAUUAGGCCUCAAGCUGCAUAUGAGCUUGCUACUCGUCAAGUUGGUGGACCACUUAAUCUCGGAUACACUCCUCGUGAUCACAGAAAUCAUUUGCAAAGCAAGAGGCAGAGGGAGUUGGCUUUUGGUCAGGCGGGCAGCAUGUUAAAGUAUUUUCAAGACAAAAUUGUUGAAAAUCCAUCAUUUCAAUAUGCUUUGCAACUAGAUUGUGAGGAGAAUAUAUCAAACAUUUUCUGGGCUGAUGCUAAAAUGAUGUUAGACUAUGCACACUUUGGCGAUGUUGUCACAUUUGACACUACUUUUGGCACAAACAAGGAAUAUAGGCCAUUUGGUGUUUUUCUUGGGCUCAAUCAGUUUAGGGAGACUAAAGUUUUUGGUGCUGCACUGAUGUUUGACGAAACAUUAGCCUCAUUCAAAUGGCUCUUUAAAACUUUCCUAGGUGCGCAUAAUGGAAGACAACCAAGAACUAUUUAUACCGAUCAAGAUUAUGCAAUGGGUAGAGCUGUAGAGGAUGUGUUCACAGAAGCAUAUCAUGGACUGUGUACAUUUCAUAUAAUGCAAAAUGCUGUCAAACAUCUAUCUCCGAUUAAGGGUGAAGACGAAGAUGAGGGUGAAGAGAAAGAGGAGGGUGAAGACAAAGAUUAA
rnacentral:rRNA from 1 species